GGGCUCGUAGCUCAGUUGGUAGAGCGACGGACUUUUAAUCCGUUGGUCGCAGGUUCAAAUCCUGCCGGGCUCA
rnacentral:tRNA from 1 species